rnacentral:rRNA from 1 species
UGGCGGCAGGCCUAACACAUGCAAGUCGAGCGGUAACAGGAGAGUAGCUUGCUACUUUUGCUGACGAGCGGCGGACGGGUGAGUAAUGCUUGGGGAUCUGCCCGGUCGAGGGGGAUAACCGUUGGAAACGACGGCUAAUACCGCAUACGCCCUACGGGGGAAAGCAGGGGACCUUCGGGCCUUGCGCGAUUGGAUGAACCCAAGUGAGAUUAGCUUGUUGGUGAGGUAACGGCUCACCAAGGCGACGAUCUCUAGCUGGUCUGAGAGGAUGACCAGUCACACUGGGACUGAGACACGGCCCAGACUCCUACGGGAGGCAGCAGUGGGGAAUAUUGCACAAUGGGGGAAACCCUGAUGCAGCCAUGCCGCGUGUGUGAAGAAGGCCUUCGGGUUGUAAAGCACUUUCAGUGGUGAGGAAAGGAGGUUGGCUAAUACCUGACCUCUGUGACGUUAACCACAGAAGAAGCACCGGCUAACUCCGUGCCAGCAGC